AAUUAAAAUUUCUAUCCAUUUCUAUUGUUAAAAAUUGGUGUGGCUAACGGAAUAACCAGACAGUUGCAUAUGGCGUGCCACAUGUAUCUCAUGUUAAUGUACACGAACCAAUUUUUAAUAGUAGAAAUAGAUGAAAUUUUUAACA
rfam:Gossypium hirsutum cultivar TM-1 chromosome 19, whole genome shotgun sequence